AUUGAACGCUGGCGGCAGGCCUAACACAUGCAAGUAGGACGCAGUUGCGAACGGGUGAGUACCGCGUAGGUACGUGCCUAUUGGAGGGUGAUAACUAUUGGAACCGAUAGCUAAUACCGCAUACUAGUAGCUGGACCUGCGUUGUAUUGGCUAGUAGGUAGGGUAAUGGCCUACCUAGGCGACGAUACAUAACCGAACUGAGAGGGUGAUAGGGCAAACCUGGAAUGAGGAACGGCCCAGACUCCUACGGGAGGCAGCAGGAGGGAAUCUUCGGAAAUGGGGGGAACCCUGACCGAGCAACGCCGCGUGAGGUAAGAAGGUUUUCGGAUCGUAAAGCCAUGUUGUUAAGGAAGCGGUAUUUACCCAGUAAGGGACGGCUAACUACGUGCCAGCAGCCGCGGUAAUAC
rnacentral:rRNA from 1 species